AGUGAACGCUGGCGGUAGGCCUAACACAUGCAAGUCGAACGGCAGCACAGGAGAGCUUGCUCUCUGGGUGGCGAGUGGCGGACGGGUGAGGAAUACACCGGAAUCUACUCUGUCGUGGGGGAUACAGUAGGGAAACUUACGCUAAUACCGCAUACGACCUACGGGUGAAAGCAGGGGACCUUCGGGCCUUGCGCGAUUGAAUGAGCAUAUGUCGGAUUAGCUAGUUGGCGGGUUAAAGGCCGACUAAGGUGACGAUCCGUAGCUGGUCUGAGAGGAUGAUCAGCCACACGGGAACUGAGACACGGUCCAGACUCCUACGGGAGGCAGCAGUGGGGAAUAUUGGACAAUGGGCGCAAGACUGAUCCAGCCAUACCGCGUGGGUGAAGAAGGCCUUCGGGUUGUAAAGCCCUUUUGUUGGGAAAGAAAUCCAGCUGGCUAAUACCCGGUUGGGAUGACGGUACCCAAAGAAUAAGCACCGGCUAACUUCUUGCCAGCCGCCGCUGUAA
rnacentral:rRNA from 1 species